GACGAACGCUGGCGGCGUGCUUAACACAUGCAAGUCGAACGGAAAGGCCCUGCUUUUGUGGGGUGCUCGAGUGGCGAACGGGUGAGUAACACGUGAGUAACCUGCCCUUGACUUUGGGAUAACUUCAGGAAACUGGGGCUAAUACCGGAUAGGAGCUCCUGCUGCAUGGUGGGGGUUGGAAAGUUUCGGCGGUUGGGGAUGGACUCGCGGCUUAUCAGCUUGUUGGUGGGGUAGCGGCUUACCAAGGCUUUGACGGGUAGCCGGCCUGAGAGGGUGACCGGCCACAUUGGGACUGCGAGACGGCCCAGACUCCUACGGGAGGCAGCAGUGGGGAAUAUUGCACAAUGGGCGGAAGCCUGAUGCAGCAACGCCGCGUGCGGGAUGACGGCCUUCGGGUUGUAAACCGCUUUCGCCUGUGACGAAGCGUGAGUGACGGUAAUGGGUAAAGAAGCACCGGCUAACUACGUG
rnacentral:rRNA from 1 species